CCCCUGCUUUUCCUCCCUGAGCAGGCGCCCGUUGUGACAGCAACGGCGGUUCACCCCGGCCACGCGCCGGGGUUUUCUUUU
rnacentral:ncRNA from 1 species